UUAGUACUCUCUCCGUUUCAUAAUUCUUGUCGAAAUUGUACAUGUAUUUAGACACUUUUUAAGAAUAGAUACAUUUAUUUUUUGACGAAUUUGAGACAAGAAUUAUGAAACGGAGGGAGUAUUUC
rnacentral:pre_miRNA from 1 species